CCUGCGUCUGAUUAGCUAGUUGGUGAGGUAAUGGCCCACCAAGGCGACGAUCAGUAGCCGGCCUGAGAGGGUGAUCGGCCACACUGGAACUGAGACACGGUCCAGACUCCUACGGGAGGCAGCAGUGGGGAAUUUUGCGCAAUGGGCGAAAGCCUGACGCAGCAACGCCGCGUGGGUGAUGAAGGUCUUCGGAUCGUAAAACCCUGUCGUCGGGGACGAAGGUGGAGGGGUUAAUAGCCUCUUUGCUUGACGGUACCCGGAGAGGAAGCCCCGGCUAACUCUGUGCCAGCAGCCGCGGUAAUACAGAGGGGGCAAGCGUUAUUCGGAAUUAUUGGGCGUAAAGGGCGCGUAGGCGGCUUUUUAAGUGAGAUGUGUAAUCCCUGAGCUCAACUUGGGAACUGCAUCUCAUACUGGGAGGCUAGAGUACUGGAGAGGGUGGUAGAAUUCCACGUGUAGCGGUGAAAUGCGUAGAGAUGUGGAGGAAUACCAGUGGCGAAGGCGGCCACCUGGACAGUAACUGACGCUGAGGCGCGAAAGUGUGGGUAGCAAACAGGAUUAGAUACCCUGGUAGUCCACACUGUAAACGAUGAACACUUGGUGUGGAGGGAGUUGACCCCUUCCGUGCCGUAGCUAACGCGUUAAGUGUUCCGCCUGGGGAGUACGGUCGCAAGGCUG
rnacentral:rRNA from 1 species